UGUACUUUUUUGUCUUUGCUCUCUUUCAAAGCAAGACAUGCCUUAAAAUAUUUUGGCCAGUUCUGCCAAAGCACCGGUAUUGUCCAGAAGCAAGUGUUUAGUGUGUAAUAGACCUACGAAUUUUUUAUUUCAACGAAUUAAAACAACCGGUUGAAUAGGUGAGUUCCGGAUCAAAUUUCUUAUAUAACACUGAACAAAUGGAGCUUGCUUCUGAGGGCAAAACUGUUAGACCAACGUCAGGGAAAAGACGUUCUGGAACUGAUGGAUUCCUGACAAAUAUAGAAGGAAUGAAGCUUUUUAAAGGUCCAAACUAGUGAACACCAGCUGACAAAAGUCAUGAAUAACUUCAGUUGAACUUGUACUCCAGUUGGCGAAUUCCUGAUUGCCGAUAAAAUCCUGGAUAACCACAGAUCACCAUGGAGAGUUCUUCGUUGGAUACAAAAUCAGUGAGAUAUCGAGUGACAAGCCGUAGCUUUAUCACUUAUCCCUCGACAACUGCUGCCUGUUUGAAGUCUGAAAAAGCGAACUUUUAACAGAAAUCAUAGAGCUCCUUAUAUGGUAUCACAUAGUUUCAUUCCUCAAAGGAGGAGCAAACGGUCACAGGCCAACCCAUGUGGCGCUGUGGGAAUAGUCAGACCGGCAGGAUUUAUUGUUUGAAAAGUAGAGGUUGACUCGGGAAACCAUUAUAAUUAUAUUAAUAUUCUGUUUUGCUAAGAAAAUCCCACAUUGUGUUAGGGAAUUUGUGAUGCCACUUGUCACAAUACUAUGGUACAGCAUUUUAAGGUGGCUACCCUAAGGUCUAGGAAAAUGGGUGAAUAUCUUGGUGUUUACAUAGUAAUGCAUUCAGACUUGACAAAUCCAGUACUAAUUUAAAUAUUAAUCCCAAAUAUGGCCAAUAAUUAGAUUUUUUUUUUUUCAAACCAUAAUUUCCAAACUCAACCCCCCUCCCCCUAUCUUCCACUGGGCCAUUAUGGACUAGCAAAAACUUUUUUUUUCUAACAAGUUUUAUAUUGAUGUCUGCCAAGUUAACAAAUUUUUUGAAAUGAGCACUUUUUCCUAUUUCUGCCACUUUUGUCAAUGUAGCCUUCAGCAUAUAAAUUCGGAGUAUGUCAUUUAAAAUGAUCAAAUAUAGUUUUUGAGUUCUCGGAUAACGUUUUACUAGUUAGAGAUUCAAUCUUCAUAAAAGAAUGCGUAAAAUAUAUCGUCAGCCAUACGACGAAACAGAAUUCCUUUUAGAAUCUGAAAAUAUUUUUUUUUUUUUUUUAUGCAAAUGAGCAAUAUCACUUACUUUGGAUAUGUAUUCAGAAAAUUGAGAGAGCACUGCGAAAUCAUUGUUUUAAAGCCUUAUUCUUACAGAGGUUAGAAUUGGUAAUUCAAUAUAAAUUCCUGUCUUCAGUGUGUAUUUGUUUACUUAGCAUUAAUUUCGACAAAUAUUUUAACUGAUAUCAAACUAUUCAGAAAUCAUUGGAUUUUCGAAUUGAGCUUACUGAUUUAAAACUAGUGAAUAAGGACUGAAAGAUUAUUUACUCUUUUUUAAUGUAAAAAUCAUGACGGUAGCCAGAGAUAAAUCAUGCCAAUGUAAUUGAAAAAUCUUUAAUUAAUUUGCUCUCUAAAUCUGUCUAGACUGGUCAGUUAGAUUAACUUGGAAUUUUUGAUAAUUCAGAUCUAUCCAUAGUUUCUCACAAAUUGUCUGGAAUGUCAAAAUUUUGAGAUUUUUAUUUUUAUUUCAUAAGCAAUUGGAUAUUUCAUAAGCAAUUGGGUAUAUCUUAAAAUCUAAAACAUCCAUUACUCUGACAAUUAGUUAAAAAGUUAUACUGAUCUGUCAAGUUAUCUUGCUCUCGGAUUCCUGUUCAGUCAGUACUUAAAAUAUGAAAAAUAGGAAUCAGUAUUUGAUAGUUCAUUCCUUUUAAUUGCAGUAUGUUAAAUUGGA